CCAUCGUCGUUGUCAUGCCCAUAUCCGUCCAAUCUGUGUUUAUUUCUUCAUUCUGAGAAUAUAAAUCACAGUUAGGAAGUGAAUCUUCCUCAUCCUCGUCAUCGAUGCCUUCCUCUUGCAAUGGUAGGAUAGGUGAUAUGAACCCCGUAGAACUCAUUACGAGACCCAAUACCUUAUGCGGAAGCAAGUUCGAAGACAUCCAAAAACAAAGAAUCAAUGUUGGCGGAAGCAAGGAAUAAUGACCCCAUAGCUAUAAAGAGCUAGAAACCAAUAUUAUCAAGGUGAAAUAUAAUAUUGACCCCGUAGUUAUAAAGAACCAGAAACCAAUAUUAUGGCGCUAAGAAAAUUACAAGAAUCCACUUGUAAAAUCCCGAAAUUUGCUGUAGAACAGCGAAGGAGAAUUAACUCUCAAUAUACUCAAAUAUUCAUUCAAAUCCGUUCAUCAAAAUAGGCCGAAUUGGCAACCUAUUUAUAAGAUUUAAAAAAACUCAUUUUUCACAAGAAAAAGGACUCUUACCUAAACUAUAAUAACAAAACCUAUAAAUAAGAAAAUCCUAACGACAAAGAACUCUAAAAUAAUAAAAAAAAACAUAAUAGAAACAUAAUAAAUCCUAACAUAAAAACGUGCAUAAUUAAAUUUAAUAACUUGAACAUCAAGUCGACUUCUUGAUCACCCUUGUAAACUCGCGUAGUCAUUUGGCUGUGCACGUGCAGGAACUUCAAGCUCGAUUUCGACAUUGUUCCACUUUGAAUCUCUCCCACUCUAACCAUGAAAGUUGUAGCACUUUCAGUUAGGGUUCCUCAUAAAUUUGAAUCACCUUACUUGGACGUCAUGUGAGAGAGUUAUAAGCUGAAUCGUAAACUGUGCCAGAAUCAUACGGGAAUUUCGAGAUGCAUGAAAUUCGACUUGUCCAACGAAUUUCAUUUUUCUUUUCUUCCAAUUCCAAACCAUUAACUCUUCAACAGUCUCAUUAAAACCUUUAUUCUCCAAGGAUAACUCGAAUAUCCUCUCCAAACUCGUACGCUUGCGCUUUUUCCAAUUCUUCAUCUUUGAGCUUGUGUGGAUCGUAUCAUACUCCCCCUCUUUAAAAGGGAUUCGUCCUCGAAUCCGGAGAUAUAAAAAGGAGCAUAUAGAAACCAUCUUUCACGACAUCUUCAAACAAUUGUAGCUCAUAUGGUCUAGAAUACUCCAAAGUUGAUACACUCAACAUUCCCACUGAAGUAUAGCUAGUCGCAUUGGUACAACCAACUCCAUCAAUCAUCAAACUCAAAGAUACACCUUCAUGGCGCUGAGUACGAGCAAGAUAAUCUUCGUGUACUGCAUCAACAUCUUCAUCAGCAUGCGCAAUUGGAGUUUGCACUCCGGUUAGCUCGGCAUUAACUUCGAUGCAUGGCUGGAUCAUAUCAAUAGGUGAUAACCCACGAACGUCUCCAAAAUUUAUUGCCGCUGCCCUUUUUUCAUCAAAUACUUUGACAUACGUUUCGUAGUAUGGGAAUCCGCAGAUCCUAUAGGCGUUUUGUAAUGUAGUCUCUUGUGCAAUUUAUAUGAAUCAAAUGUUUAUGUGCCGUUAAAUAGUAAUAUUAUAAGAGCUAUAUUUAAUAUACCGGUUGAGCCAAAUUUGAAACGUAGGUAGCAUCAAUUGUGACUUUAUUAUUAGCAUUGUUGUACGAGAUCCCUGGUAAGUUGAUGUACUCCUUGAAUUCUUGAAAUCGUUCGCUUAAAAGUACGAAUUGACUUUUCACAGU
rnacentral:lncRNA from 1 species